rnacentral:rRNA from 1 species
UAGGGAAUUUUCCACAAUGGGCGAAAGCCUGAUGGAGCAACGCCGCGUGCAGGAUGAAUGCCUUCGGGUUGUAAACUGCUUUUAUAUGUGACGAUUAUGACGGUAGCAUAUGAAUAAGGAUCGGCUAACUCCGUGCCAGCAGCCGCGGUCAUACGGAGGAUCCAAGCGUUAUCCGGAAUUACUGGGCGUAAAGAGUUGCGUAGGUGGCAUGGUAAGUUGGUAGUGAAAGCGUUCCGCUCAACGGAAUACACAUUAUCGAAACUGCCAAGCUAGAGGACGAGAGAGGUUAUUGGAAUUCCUGAUGUAGGGGUAAAAUCCGUUGAUAUUAGGAGGAACACCGAUGGCGUAGGCAGAUAACUGGCUCGUUCCUGACACUCAGGCACGAAAGCGUGGGGAGCAAACAGGAUUAGAUACCCCCGUAGUCC